rnacentral:rRNA from 1 species
CCCAAUGUGAACGUUACCAAACUGUUGCCUCGGCGGGAUCUCUGCCCCGGGUGCGUCGCAGCCCCGGACCAAGGCGCCCGCCGGAGGACCAACCUAAAACUCUUAUUGUAUACCCCCUCGCGGGUUUUUUUAUAAUCUGAGCCUUCUCGGCGCCUCUCGUAGGCGUUUCGAAAAUGAAUCAAAACUUUCAACAACGGAUCUCUUGGUUCUGGCAUCGAUGAAGAACGCAGCGAAAUGCGAUAAGUAAUGUGAAUUGCAGAAUUCAGUGAAUCAUCGAAUCUUUGAACGCACAUUGCGCCCGCCAGUAUUCUGGCGGGCAUGCCUGUCCGAGCGUCAUUUCAACCCUCGAACCCCUCCGGGGGGUCGGCGUUGGGGAUCGGCCCUCCCUUAGCGGGUGGCCGUCUCCGAAAUACAGUGGCGGUCUCGCCGCAGCCUCUCCUGCGCAGUAGUUUGCACACUCGCAUCGGGAGCGCGGCGCGUCCACAGCCGUUAAACACCCAACUUCUGAAAUGUUGACCUCGGAUCAGGUAGGAAUACCCGCUGAACUUAAGCAUAUCAAUAAGCGGAGGAAAAGAAACCAACAGGGAUUGCCCCAGUAACGGCGAGUGAAGCGGCAACAGCUCAAAUUUGAAAUCUGGCCCCUAGGGUCCGAGUUGUAAUUUGUAGAGGAUGCUUUUGGUGAGGUGCCGCCCGAGUUCCCUGGAACGGGACGCCACAGAGGGUGAGAGCCCCGUCUGGCUGGCCGCCGAGCCUCUGUAAAGCUCCUUCGACGAGUCGAGUAGUUUGGGAAUGCUGCUCAAAAUGGGAGGUAUAUGUCUUCUAAAGCUAAAUAUUGGCCAGAGACCGAUAGCGCACAAGUAGAGUGAUCGAAAGAUGAAAAGCACCUUGAAAAGAGGGUUAAAUAGUACGUGAAAUUGUUGAAAGGGAAGCGCUUGUGACCAGACUUGGGCGCGGCGGAUCAUCCGGGGUUCUCUCCGGUGCACUUCGCCGCGUCUAGGCCAGCAUCAGUUCGUCGCGGGGGAAAAAGGCUUCGGGAACGUGGCUCCUCCGGGAGUGUUAUAGCCCGUUGCAUAAUACCCUGCGGUGGACUGAGGACCGC